CAUUUCCACGAACUGAUUUUUUUUAGAUUGGCUAGUUUCACAUUGUUUUGACCAAUGAGAUUGGAGCAUUGGUUGUUUUGUGAUCAUGUGAUCUUGGUUUGCGGGAGAGACCGCCAUGUUUAAUUUCUACAAGGCUUAGAAGUUCUGGAGGUGUUUUUACAUUUUAGAAGUUGAUAGAUAUAUUUGGAUAUAGGAAUUGGCACAGUUACAGCUCUUGGUACACUGGUACACGAAGCACAAUUUGAGCAGACAGCUCUGUGUGGGUUACAACGUACAUGUGGGUGUUUAUUCUACAAAUAAGACCCGUACAUGUAACGCUUGAGCGGUUUGAAGUAUCCACUGGUAUACAGUUCCGAGAUUAUAAGUAAAGAGACAUUUAGAUACAUGAAGAUAUAUAGAGACUAUAAUAUAUUAACCAUACAUGUGUUCUAAAAAUUAGAAGAAUAUUGAACAGUUAAAACCCCGAAAUGUGUAGAUUCGUCUCUAUUAGAAAAACAUACGUCGUAAAUUGUAUCAAUGAGUCAUCAUUUGAUAAUAUCAUGUGUAAAUAUAUUGGUAUGCAAGUUGUAUUAUCUGUGUCAUUGACUAUAUAUAUUUCAUUUUUGAUGGUACAUGUAUGUUAUUGUUGAUGUUUCUUUUAUCUUAAUUUCAGAAGUCCACAAUUGAAAUAAGAUGUUUAUAAGUGUUUGUAUAUUUCUUAAUGUGUUGCCCUCUUUAAACAAGUGACCGAGUAUUGCAGUGGCAAUACAGAUGUCCAUUACCGGUGAAAAACUUUCAUGCAAAUAACAGUUAUGGAGCGGAAACUAUUGUACUUGACCUUCAAUAGUGACAUUGACCUUUGACCGACAACCAUAGGCCAUGUGCGCGACACAUAGCCUAAUCAUGGGGAACAUUUCUGUGUAGUAAUAGAAAUUCUCCAAUGCAAUUAAAAUUUAUGGAAUGGAAACAGAUUUUUACUUGACCUUAGACAGUGAACUUUAACCAAUCAUGGGUUGACACAUUGUCUCAUCAUGGGGAUUAUUUGUGUGUAGUACUAAGAUAAUCCACCAAUGCAUAUAAAACUUAUGAAGCAGAAACAACUUU